GAGCACUGUUUGUAAACUGUUACCUGGCUGUAGUAACAGGUUCCAGUGCUACGGCAUUUCCAAAGGCACAUAACUGACUGACUAGUGGCUUUCAGUUUCAGGUCUUGGAGACAAAC